rnacentral:sRNA from 1 species
GUUUUUGAAGAGCCUGGUUUGUGGAUACUUUGAAUGCUGUUGUUUUUCAGAUUUUUUUUUGACUCAAAAGUGGUUUAAAUCACUUCAAAUUAUCCAUUUUCCUGUUAACAUGCUUUUGAUCUUUAAAAAAUCAUCAGGAAAUUUUGUAUGUUCUAAGCAAUACUUUGCAGAAGAAGUAUGAUAUUUUUGCAUUUUUUUGGUCUUUUUUAUAUUAAUACUGACACAUUUAAACAAGUCAUGUCAUAUAUUGCAUAUUUAUGCAUUUUUGUGUCAGUUUGGUACAUAUGUUAUUCUGUAUUAAUUAGAACUGUGAAAAUUUCCUGUGUUAUUAUAAUGAAUUUUUCAUUGAUGUUGUUAGGCUUGUUUCAUUCUAAUGAGCUAAUUGCUGUUGUUUUGCUUUUAAAAACCCUCAAAUGUUGACAGAAUGAGUAGCUUAUCUUAUAACCAAUAUGGAUUACAAGUAAUAGUCUCUUGUUUAAUUUUAUUUUUGAUUAUGAUUUGGUUAUUGUUUUUUCUAAUGUAACCUGCUCAUUCUAAUUUGAUAGUUCAAAGUUUAGUGCUUAUUUGAAACUGGAUUCAAUGAUAAAUUUUAUGUUCAGUCCCAAAAUAUAAAUAAACUGUUGGAAUGAAAAGCCAAUAUCUGAUAUGCUCCAUCCAGUAAAUGUUAAAAGGGAAAUCUUUGUGUAUGUCUUAGAUUUUUAUUUUGGAGAUUGAUCAUAAUUAAUAUGUUGUAUCCAGAAUGUGAUUAUUUGUGAAGACAAACUUUAUGUAUAAGUAUUUUAAAAAAAUGAAUUAUACCCCUAUGCACAAAUCAAAUGUGAGAAGAUUUCUCACUGUAGGCAAAUCAAUGACUGUUCUUACCCUCGCCCCAUUUUAACUGAAUGUCACGGUAAUACAUGAUGUUAGUGUAACAGUUUGGAUACUCUGAUACAAAUGAUUAUUUAGGAUGGGAGUUUACACAUUUUUUUGUACUUGUAGACAUAAAAAAAAUCUUUCUGGAGGUUUUUAAUUGAGUUGUCUUCAGACUACUUGUAAAUAUGUUUAUCAUUGAAAGUAUCCAGGGUUAUUCUAUAUCCUACAGUCUACUGUACAUGGUUUGAUUAUCCAUACAAAUUAUUAUCAGUGUUUGCCAUAUGUAAACAAUUUAAUUUUGCCCGGAAUGUUUAUUAUAAGUCAAUUGUCUUCAUUUAUAGUCAUAUAUGUGGUAUGCAAGGGCAAGUAAAGGUCAAACACAAGAUAGUUCUGUCUGACCUGGCCUGUCCUGUAUACUACAAUUAUUAAUCCUGUUUGGUGCUGCAGAAGGUAAAUCAAGUAUAAGAAGAUCUUCUUGAUAAGAAAUUUUAGAGAUUGUCCUUUGUAUCGAAAUUUAGAUUCAUUUGAUUCUAUUUAUAGAAUUUGGUUCGUUUUCCUAAAAGAGAAGCAACCAACAGGCUUUUCCAGGAAGUGUUUCAUUCUUUCACACUCUAAUUCUGCUAUAUACUUGAUUUACCUUUAAAAGCGGCUGGUGUGUUUUUCCGUUGUCUCCAUUGCUUUAUUCAUUGUCAGCAAUGUAAAAACACACGAAAAAAUAUUCUGUUCUUUUCUUUAUUUUUUUUUUUAAUUUCAUUAUUAAAUGUUUGAAAAAUG